rnacentral:rRNA from 1 species
AAUCAACGCUGGCGGCGUGCCUCAGACAUGCAAGUCGAACGAUUAAAGCUCUCUUCGGAGAGUGCAUAGAGUGGCGCACGGGUGAGUAACACGUAGGUAAUCUACCUUUGGAUGGGGAAUAACAACCGGAAACGGUUGCUAAUACCGCAUAAUGCAGCGGCACCUAAUGGUGACAGUUGUUAAAGCGGGGGAUCGAAAGACCUCGCGUCUGAAGAGGAGCCCUGGCGGCGGAUUAGCUAGUUGGUAAGGUAAUGGCUUACCAAGGCUACGAUCCGUAACCGGCCUGAGAGGGCGGUCGGUCACACUGACACUGACAUACGGGUCAGACUCCUACGGGAGGCAGCAGUCGGAAUUUUGGGCAAUGGGCGAAAGCCUGACCCAGCAACGCCGCGU